AGUCGAGCGGAGAUGAGGUGCUUGCACCUUAUCUUAGCGGCGGACGGGUGAGUAAUGCUUAGGAAUCUGCCUAUUAGUGGGGGACAACAUUCCGAAAGGAAUGCUAAUACCGCAUACGUCCUACGGGAGAAAGCAGGGGAUCUUCGGACCUUGCGCUAAUAGAUGAGCCUAAGUCGGAUUAGCUAGUUGGUGGGGUAAAGGCCUACCAAGGCGACGAUCUGUAGCGGGUCUGAGAGGAUGAUCCGCCACACUGGGACUGAGACACGGCCCAGACUCCUACGGGAGGCAGCAGUGGGGAAUAUUGGACAAUGGGGGGAACCCUGAUCCAGCCAUGCCGCGUGUGUGAAGAAGGCCUUAUGGUUGUAAAGCACUUUAAGCGAGGAGGAGGCUACUGAGACUAAUACUCUUGGAUAGUGGACGUUACUCGCAGAAUAAGCACCGGCUAACUCUGUGCCAGCAGCCGCGGUAAUACAGAGGGUGCGAGCGUUAAUCGGAUUUACUGGGCGUAAAGCGUGCGUAGGCGGCUUUUUAAGUCGGAUGUGAAAUCCCCGAGCUUAACUUGGGAAUUGCAUUCGAUACUGGGAAGCUAGAGUAUGGGAGAGGAUGGUAGAAUUCCAGGUGUAGCGGUGAAAUGCGUAGAGAUCUGGAGGAAUACCGAUGGCGAAGGCAGCCAUCUGGCCUAAUACUGACGCUGAGGUACGAAAGCAUGGGGAGCAAACAGGAUUAGAUACCCUGGUAGUCCAUGCCGUAAACGAUGUCUACUAGCCGUUGGGGCCUUUGAGGCUUUAGUGGCGCAGCUAACGCGAUAAGUAGACCGCCUGGGGAGUACGGUCGCAAGACUAAAACUCAAAUGAAUUGACGGGGGCCCGCACAAGCGGUGGAGCAUGUGGU
rnacentral:rRNA from 1 species